GUUCAGCAGUCAGUAUCCAUCGAGCUGUUGGAUAAAACGGAGUUUAUUGUCGACGCAGUCCCCCGGAACCAUAAGCAGUGCCUCACUCGUGCGUGAUAUGUAUGCAGAGUUUCGUCGGUUGAAUUUAUAAGAGUCAUGUUGACCUGCUGUUUAGUUUGGGAACGGUGAAUUAUAGAAGCACGGACGCGCUUCGCCGACGCCGUGAAUCACCUGUGCGUUGUACCCUACCAAACGAGCAUAUUUUAGCUACGUUGGUUCGCUCUGUUAGAAAAGGGGUCUGUAACCCAGAGUGGACCGGAAAUAAAGAAAAUAAAACUCACCUUAAUUGUUCGCUUCUUUAAUUGAUACCGUGGGCCCUCUCGAAGAACGUCAGUCGGUGGUGUUGUUGCACGGUAAACGAAAGUCAAACAGUGAGAAGUCAAAGUGAUUGGAGCGAAAAAAGGGUGCAGCCGAAGCUUUUACCAGGUUUUGCCCGCGAAGACCCCGUCAGGAAGUGUUUCUGAAGAAAUUUCAGGUGUUGUUAGUUCGCCGCGCGCUCGAUCGCUUUGAGGAAGAAAAUUGUUCAUCAUACCGGUGUCUAUCCGAUACCUACAGUAGUGUUGUGCUGAAAAAAUAUUCAGUACUUCAUAAAUGACAUAGAACAAUCCACACAUUGUAACUAAAAUAAGUGCACUGACCCUGGUAAACCUUACAUGUUUUCCCGACAAAACAGUUGCUGAAUAAGUGAAAGAAGAGCCAAUAAACUCCCGUGUGUGGUAUUGCCCACCACCGGUUAACACAUCUGCCGUCGACUAGUAUUUAUACAGAGUGAUUGAAAAGCCCAGAGGCUACGAGAAAUUAAGAAAAAAAAAAUAAAAUAACGAAGUCUGACACAAAUCAUAUCGGACCAGCAGCGGAUCGAAACCGGAUUAUUUCACCGUAGCGGACGUGCGAUACCAACCAUCGAGACGGAAAAAAUGCGGCAAAUUGGUUUAGAGGUAUAUAUACAACUUUCAAAGGAAAUUAAUGAUUUGAAAAGACAUGGUAUAAAGGCGUACAGGUAUGUGUUAUUUGCAGUUUUAGGCGACCGACUAUUUUGGAUCUGCCAAGAUUAGAUCUGACGGCAGCGAUAAAGCACCAAAACCAAUGACAUACAAGAAAACCGAAUAAUCGUAAUUUGAUGUGAAGUUAUAAUGACCAGCAUGGAAAUAUUUUCCAAUUUACUAUGGCAAAACGUGACCAUCGACCAACAAACGCUUCUUCUGUGAGUUUUGUUUCUUUCCAUAUCAACCGGUUCAAGGUUCUUGGUUCGAAUCCGGUUGCAAACAGAAACUUGUUUUAAUUGUAAAUCGGGUCCAUGGUAGAAUUGAAAACAUUAACCUGUUGAAUUGAAACGAAACUCAGUCUGCGCAAAUUUAGUGGCGUUGUGUAUUUAAAUUGGCCCUCAGAAUAGUAAUUUCAACCGCAAGCCGUUUCACUGUACGGAUUUUUUCAGUUAGCAAAGGAAGUGUCAUCCCCCCUGGGGGUGUCACACGUUUACAAACCCCAUCCGCUCUAAACGAUGAUUGUCAUGUUUGAAUGACGCCUAACAUGGACAGCGUAGGCAUCAACAACCAUGCGCCUCCAUGUUUUUCUCAAUCUCUUGGAAACACAUGCCUGGUAAUGAAAUCGGCAGAAAAUCUUAAGGUGAAGAAUGAAGAUAUGACGAAGCCAAAUCUCGAAUAUUCAAGAACACAAAUCUGAAGUACCAAAUGACCCAAGUAACCACAGCGUUGAAGCCUUAUUGCAUGCAGAUAUACGGUGUAUUAAGAGCAAUCAUUACUUUACAUGCAAACUUAAGGUUGAUUUAAAGUGGAAAUGGGCAAUUAU